rnacentral:rRNA from 1 species
GCGAGUGAAGAGGGAAGAGCCCAAGAUUGAAAGCUGGCGUCUUCGGCGUCCGCAUUGUAAUCUCAAGAAGUGUUUUCCGCUUCGGACCAAGCCUAAGUCCCUUGGAAAAGGGCAUCAUAGAGGGUGAUAAUCCCGUACAUGGCUUGGAGCGCCCGAAGCUUUGUGAUACGCUUUCUAAGAGUCGAGUUGUUUGGGAAUGCAGCUCAAAAUGGGUGGUAAAUGCCAUCUAAGGCUAAAUAUUGGGGAGAGACCGAUAGCGAACAAGUACAGUGAUGGAAAGAUGAAAAGAACUUUGAAAAGAGAGUUAAACAGUACGUGAAAUUGCCAAAAGGGAAGGGUAGGAGGUCAGAGAUGCGGCCUGGGAUUCAGCCUUGCUUUUGCUUGGUGUUUUUCCCAGAUUGCAGGCCAACGUCGGUUUUGGGCACUGGAGAAGGGUAGGAGGAACGUGGCACCUCUCGGGGUGUGUUAUAGCCUCCUACUGGAUACAGCGACCGAGACCGAGGACAGCAGCGUACUCGCAAGAGCGGGCCUUCGGGCACCUUUACGCUUAGGGCGUUGGCAUAAUGGCCCUCUACCACCC